rnacentral:lncRNA from 8 species
AAGUGCUGCCCCCUCCUGGUGAGAUCCAGUUCUCGUCAGUGACGUCAGACUCUGUGUCUCUGAGCUGGGGUUCUGCUGACGGACUGACGGGAGCACAGAAGUUCAGAGUGACCUGGGGAUAUGAUGGAGAAGAGAGGAGCCUGAGGGUGGAAGAUGGGUGUAAUGUUGAAAUAGAUGGACUCCAGCCUGGUAAAAAGUACCAGUUCAGUGUGGCUACAGAGGGAGAAGAUGGCAGACAAAGCAGAUGGGUCUCAGCAUCUGUAUAUACUGUGGUCCCAGCACCCAGGGACUUACAAAUAAACCAGUCUGGAGCGACCUAAUUCACUGUCAGUUGGUCCAAGGCUGUAGGAAUGGAGGAAGUCCCACAGAGCUUCCUCAUAUCCUACUGCAGCCCGGGAUCAGAGACCCGCUCAGCCAAUACUGAGGACUCCUACAGAACUCUCUCUGGCCUGCUACCUGGUACUCAGUACACCAUCAGUGUCUCAACUGUGUUGAACAAUGGGGAACAGAGCAAACCUCUCUCUACAACCGUCUGUACAAUUAUCUCUGUCCCGGUAGAGCUGACAGUUGACUCAGUGGACACCACAUCAGCUGCUGUUAGCUGGAGCCAGCCACCAGGAUUGGACCAAACGCAACAUCAUUACCAGAUCUCCUACCACUGUCCAGGGACAGAACCACACAUCACUACCACAUCUUCACCCAGCAUCACUCUCUCUGACCUGCAAUGUGGUACUCAGUACUCUGUCACUGUCUGUACUGUGCUGGAAAAUGGUUCUUCUACACUUAAGAUCAUUGGAAAUCCCAGGACAGACAGUACAUUCGGAAAGUAUUCAGACCACUUGACUUUUUCCACAUUUCAUUACAUUACAUCCUUUCCUUAUUCUAAAAGGUAUUAAGUCGUUUUUUCCCCUCAUCAAUCUACCCACAAUACCCCAUAAUGACAAAGCAAAAACAGACUUUUACGGUCUAAAUAGUUAUGUAAAUAAAGAUUAAAAUUUAUUUGAAAAAAACUGUUUUCAAUUUGUUGUUAUAGGGUAUUAUGUGUAUAUUGAUGAAUGGAAAAAUAAAUUUAAUCCAUUUUAGAAUAAGGCUGUUACGUAACAAAAUGUGGAAAAAGUCAAGGGGUCUGAAUACUCUCCGAAUGCACCGUACUGUAAUAUCUGAAUUUAUGCUUUAUUCCAUUCCUGCCUCUGUUUGCUUUAACUUCAUCCAAAGUACAGUGUAAAACACUUGUUAUUGUGGAGAGUAUUUAUAAUCACAGCAUUCUUUUAAUUUAUAUAUAUAUUUUUAGCGUAACGGCAACAAUUUUGCAGUAGUGCAGCAGUGUUACAGUGUUACAGCAGUGUUUUCUUUGCGUAAAGGCAACAAUUUUGCAGUAGUGCAGCAGUGUUACUACUUUUAAAUUACUAUUCUACUUUUCCUCCUGUACAGUGGUGAUUUUAGCAUGCAAAUCUUUGUGGGGCGUAAUCAAAAUAUUUUUUUUAGAUGCAUGCCAGCAAAGCCACUACACAACUCAACGCUAAACAAUACAUGAAUUGCACUAUAACAAACAGUGCCCACAAACUGCUAGGGCCUACAUAAAGCUGUCCCAACAGCAGAGAUUUUUUCAGAACCAUAAAGCCCCUCCUUACCACUGCUACAACUGGCUAUCAGUGGAGGCUUGUCUGGCAGUGAAACAGUUCAUUCAGUGUCAUUUACUGCCUUUUUAAAAAAGAUAGCUGAUAUGGCUGACUUGCUUAAACAAAUGUGAUUUCUACUGACAUUUGAGUUGUACAAACUAUGGCAUAAGGGAAUGAUGAGCGGAUAAAAGGCAAUCCGUAAUUUCGAUUAAGACAUUAAUGAGCGAGCUAAGACAGACGUAGUCAAUAUAAUAACUAUUUGUUCAGCACUUUUGAAAUGUACAGCGACAGAAUUCAGAACAUGGGCUGUUCUUACAGUAUUCUCCCUGUACACCAAGUCAGAACUGAAGGAUAAAUAAAGAGGGCC